CAAUAGCGUAUAUUAAAGUUGUUGCAGUUAAAAAGCUCGUAGUUGGAUUUCUGGUAGGAGUGACCGUUCCGAACUUGAUUGUUCGUGUAUUGUGUUUUCUCCAGCCAUCCUUGUGGAGAACUUUUCUUGCAUUAAUUUGUAGGGAUUGGGACCCGCAUCGUUUACUGUGAAGAAAUUAGAGUGUUUAAAGCAGGCAAUCGCUUGAAUACAUUAGCAUGGAAUAAUAAGAUAGGACUUUGGUACUAUUUUGUUGGUUUGCAUACCAAAUUAAUGAUCAACAGGAACAGUUUGAGGAUAUUCGUAUGAACAUGUCAGAGGUGAAAUUCUUGGAUUUUGAUCAGACGAACUACUGCGAAAGCAUUUAUCAAGGAUGUUUUCAUUAA
rnacentral:rRNA from 1 species